GACGAACGCUAGCGGCAGGCUUAACACAUGCAAGUCGAACGGUUGUAGCAAUACAGCAGUGGCAGACGGGUGAGUAACACGUGGGAACCUUCCUAGGGGUACGGAACAACUCAGGGAAACUUGAGCUAAUACCGUAUACGUCCGUGAGGAGAAAGAUUUAUCGCCCUUAGACGGGCCCGCGUCGGAUUAGCUAGUUGGUGGGGUAACGGCCUACCAAGGCGACGAUCCGUAGCUGAUCUUAGAGGAUGAUCAGCCACACUGGGACUGAGACACGGCCCAGACUCCUACGGGAGGCAGCAGUGGAGAAUCUUGGACAAAGGGCUCAAGCCUGAUCCAGCCAUGCCGCGUGAGUGAAGAAGGUCCUCGGAUUGUAAAGCUCUUUUGCCAGGGACGAUAACGACGGUACCUGGAGAAUAAGCCCCGGCAAACUUCGUGCCAGCAGCCGCAGUAA
rnacentral:rRNA from 1 species